rnacentral:rRNA from 1 species
CUCCAGACUCCUACGGGAGGCAGCAGUGGGGAAUAUUGCACAAUGGGGGAAACCCUGAUGCAGCGACGCCGCGUGAGUGAAGAAGUAUUUCGGUAUGUAAAGCUCUGUCAGCAGGGAAGAAAAUGACGGUACCUGACCAAGAAGCCCCGGCUAACUACGUGCCAGCAGCCGCGGUAAUACGUAGGGGGCAAGCGUUAUCCGGAUUUACUGGGUGUAAAGGGAGCGUAGACGGCAGGGCAAGUCUGGAGUGAAAGGCGGGGGCUCAACCCCCGGACUGCUCUGGAAACUGCCAGGCUGGAGUGCAGGAGAGGUAAGUGGAAUUCCUAGUGUAGCGGUGAAAUGCGUAGAUAUUAGGAGGAACACCAGUGGCGAAGGCGGCUUACUGGACUGUAACUGACGUUGAGGCUCGAAAGCGUGGGGAGCAAACAGGAUUAGAUACCCCGGUAUA